rnacentral:rRNA from 1 species
GACGAACGCUGGCGGCGUGCCUAAUACAUGCAAGUAGAACGCUGAAGGAGGAGCUUGCUCUUCUGGAUGAGUUGCGAACGGGUGAGUAACGCGUAGGUAACCUGCCUGGUAGCGGGGGAUAACUAUUGGAAACGAUAGCUAAUACCGCAUAAGAGUAGAUGUUGCAUGACAUUUACUUAAAAGGUGCAAUUGCAUCACUACCAGAUGGACCUGCGUUGUAUUAGCUAGUUGGUGGGGUAACGGCUUACCAAGGCGACGAUACAUAGCCGACCUGAGAGGGUGAGCGGCAACACUGGGACUGAGACACGGCCCAGACUCCUACGGGAGGCAGCAGUAGGGAAUCGUCGGCAAGGGACGGAAGUCUGACCGAGAAACGCCGCGUGAGUGAAGAAGGUUUUCGGAUCGUAAAGCUCUGUUGUAAGAGAAGAACGAGUGUGAGAGUGGAAAGUUCACACUGUGACGGUAUCUUACCAGAAAGGGACGGCUAACUACGUG